GAUGAAGAACGCAGCGAAACGCUAUAUGUAAUGUGAAUUGCAGAAUUCAGUGAAUCAUCGAAUCUUUGAACGCACAUGGCGCCUUCCAGUAUCCUGGGAGGCAUGCCUGUCCGAGCGUCGUUUCAACCCUCGAGCCCUCGUGGCCCGGCGUUGGGGAUCUGCCACGGCAGGCCCCGAAAUACAGUGGCGGACCCGUUAGGCCCUUCCUUUGCGUAGUAGCAUUAGCCUCGCAUCGGGAGCCGGCGGGCUCUCCUGCCUCUAAACCCCCCAACAAGCCCGCUCCGGCGGCACCAAGGUUGACCUCGGAUCAGGUAGGAAUACCCGCUGAACUUAAGCAUAUCAAUAAGCGGAGGA
rnacentral:misc_RNA from 1 species